UCACAUUAACAAAACGCCAUUAACUCUACCGACUCACAUUGCUUCAGCUGUAAUUUGAAUUUAAAUAAAAAAAUAUAUUUGAUGUGCAUACAUGACUGAAAUUUGUUUCUCUCAGAAACUACAUGCAUGAGGAAGAAAGAACUGAGGAAUCCAGCGUCAAUUCGAGUGCCCUUUUCUCCUCGUCGGAUUCAGAUUUCAGAAACUCGAUCUCAAGGCCAAUGAGAAGAGCGCAUUCAUUAACCAUUGCAUUUGGAAUGCUCAUGUUCUAUUUACCUUAACAAGAUAAAUCCUUAAGCCAUCACCCAUCAAAAUUUAAACACAUUAUUUUGACUAUUUAAUGCUUUUUUAGGGUUUAUCUUUUGACCAAGUGCCGUGUGGAUAAUGAUAAAAAUAUUCAAGAUUCUAUAUUCGUCAAUUGAUUGGUUAUUAGAAUCUCUAAAUGCAUACCACAAAUGUGAUCUUAUUCAAUAAUUGACCCAUGCAUACCACAAAUGUGAUCUUUACCGUUUGCAAGCCACGUGCUUUGACUGUCCUAAGGUCCAUAGAGUUCUUUCUUUUGAUAUUGCAUUUGAUUCUGAGUUCUUGUUUUUUACCUAUUCCUGCCAUAUUAUUAGUUUCCUAAGAAAAGAAGAAUUGUGAUUUGUAAGAAUAUAGACAACUACUUUUUUUUACCUUCUAAAUGGUUGUUAGCGAGCAAUUGGGAGGUUGUUUUCACUUUGCAUAGACAGAUACACAAGUUUAUGGUCUUGGUUGUUAUGACAGACUGUAUGCCUUUGCAAGUUGCAAUUAGUUGACACUUGACACUAGUGGCAUACCUUAAUCAUGGUUCCACUUUUAUCCUUUUAAAAAGUAUAGUCAGUUUCGCCUUUAUUAGUGCAUGAUGAGGGAUGAUAUUGUUUUAGAAAACGAGUGAGUUACUUGCAUGUUUGCAUAGUAUUUUUUUUCUUGGUCAAAAUUGGUGUGGCCAUGUGUGACUGAUAGUUACUUCAACCAAAAUGAAAGAGAUUAGAGUACAUGUCAAAUGAGAAUAAGUUGAUUUACUGAAUUACACAUGGUGCAUCAUGAAUCAACCUUAUUCAAA